rnacentral:tRNA from 1 species
GGUGGUGUAGCUCAGUGGUAGAGCACACGCUUAGCGUGCAUGAGGUCCUGGGUUCUAUCCCUAGUACUUCCA